rnacentral:rRNA from 1 species
GACGUAGGAGGCGAGCGUUGUCCGGAUUCAUUGGGCGUAAAGCGCGUGUAGGCGGCUCGAUAAGUCUGCUGUGAAAGUCCAGGGCUCAACCCUGGGAUGCCGGUGGAUACUGUCGAGCUCGAGUCCGGAAGAGGCGAGUGGAAUUCCUGGUGUAGCGGUGAAAUGCGCAGAUAUCAGGAAGAACACCAAUGGCGAAAGCAGCUCUCUGGGACGGUACUGACGCUGAGACGCGAAAGCGUGGGGAGCGAACAGG